UGGGUGACCUGCCCUCAGCUCUGGGAUAAGCCUGGGAAACUGGGUCUAAUACCGGAUAUGACCUUCCAUCGCAUGGUGGGGGGUGGAAAGUUUUUCGGCUGGGGAUGGGCCCGCGGCCUAUCAGCUUGUUGGUGGGGUGAUGGCCUACCAAGGCGACGACGGGUAGCCGGCCUGAGAGGGCGACCGGCCACACUGGGACUGAGACACGGCCCAGACUCCUACGGGAG
rnacentral:rRNA from 1 species